ACGCUCGACACCUACGGAAGGCAGCAGUGGGGGAUAUUGCACAAUGGGGGAAACCCUGAUGCAGCAACGCCGCGUGAAGGAAGAAGGUCUUCGGAUUGUAAACUUCUGUCCUCAGGGAAGAUAAUGACGGUACCUGAGGAGGAAGCUCCGGCUAACUACGUGCCAGCAGCCGUGGUAAUCUGAGCGGGCUGGCAAGGC
rnacentral:rRNA from 1 species